rnacentral:rRNA from 1 species
GACGAACCGUGCGAACGUUGUUCGGAUUCACUGGGCUUAAAGGGCGCGUAGGCGGCUCGCCAAGUCAGGGGUGAAAUCCCCCGGCUCAACCGGGGAACGGGCGCCGAUACGACCGCCCUGGAGGGACGUAGGGGGACCUGGAACUUCCGGUGGAGCGGUGAAAUGCGUUGAGAUCGGAAGGAACGCCCGUGGCGAAAGCGAGGUCCUGGACGUUUUCUGACGCUGAGACGCGAAAGCCAGGGGAGCAAACGGG